GAGUUUGAUCCUGGCUCAGAUUGAACGCUGGCGGCAUGCCUAACACAUGCAAGUCGAACGGCAGCAUGAAUAGGGGUAACCUUAUUUGAUGGCGAGUGGCGGACGGGUGAGUAAUACGUAGGAAUCUACCCAGAGGUAGGGGAUAACUUGGGGAAACUCAAGCUAAUACCAUAUGAGCCUUACGAGGGAAAGCAGGGGAUCGAAAGACCUUGCGCCUUUGGAUGGGCCUACGUCGGAUUAGCUAGUUGGUAGGGUAAAGGCCUACCAAGGCGACGAUCCGUAGCAGGUCUGAGAGGAUGACCUGCCACACUGGGACUGAGACACGGCCCAGACUUCCUACGGGAGGCAGCAGUGGGGAAUAUUGGACAAUGGGCGAAAGCCUGAUCCAGCAAUGCCGCGUGUGUGAAGAAGGCCUCGGUUGUAAG
rnacentral:rRNA from 1 species